rnacentral:rRNA from 1 species
UACGUAGGGCGCAAGCGUUGUCCGGAAUCAUUGGGCGUAAAGAGCUCGUAGGUGGUCUGUUACGUCUGCUGUGAAAUCCUAGGGCUUAACCCUGGGCCUGCAGUGGAUACGGGCAGACUAGAGGUAGGUAGGGGAGAAUGGAAUUCCCGGUGUAGCGGUGAAAUGCGCAGAUAUCGGGAGGAACACCGGUGGCGAAGGCGGCUACCUGGCCCAAUACUGACACUCAGGUGCGACAGCGUGGGGAGCAAACAGG